rnacentral:rRNA from 1 species
UACGAACUGUGCGAACGUUAUUCGGAAUCACUGGGCUUACAGGGUGCGUAGGCGGCUUGUCAAGUAGGGUGUGAAAGCCCCCGGCUCAACCGGGGGAUGGCGCCCUAAACUGGCGAGCUAGAGUGAGAUAGGGGUGUGUGGAACUUCCGGUGGAGCGGUGAAAUGUGUUGAUAUCAGGAGGAACACCUGUGGUGUAGACAGCUUACUGGACCAUUUCUGACGCUGAGACACGAAAGCGUGGGUAGCAAACAGG